AACGAACGCUGGCGGCAUGCCUAACACAUGCAAGUCGAACGAGACCUUCGGGUCUAGUGGCGCACGGGUGCGUAACGCGUGGGAACCUGCCCUUAGGUUCGGAAUAACUCCCCGAAAGGGGUGCUAAUACCGGAUAAUGUCUUCGGACCAAAGAUUUAUCGCCUUUGGAUGGGCCCGCGUUGGAUUAGCUAGUUGGUAGGGUAAAAGCCUACCAAGGCAACGAUCCGUAGCUGGUCUGAGAGGAUGAUCAGCCACACUGGGACUGAGACACGGCCCAGACUCCUACGGGAGGAAGAAGUAGGGAAUUUUCAGAAAGGGGCGAAAGCAUGACGGAGCAACGCCGCGUGAGUGAUGAAGGUCUUCGGCUCGUAAAACUCUGUUAUUAGGGAAGAAGAAAUGUGUAAGUAACUAUGCACGUCUUGAGGGUACCUAAUCAGAAAGACACGGAUAAAUACGUG
rnacentral:rRNA from 1 species